CAGUUCAAGAUUGGACCGAACGGGCCGAACUAAUUGAACCGGACCCAAACUGAGCCGUGGGCCCAACCGGGCCAACCUAUAAGUGAACCCACGCUCCUUCUUCUCAUCAUUUAAGCUGAAUCACGUUGAAAGCAUUCAGCUCCAGAGAAGGAAAGAAAGAAACACCAAACCCUUACGGUGAACUCCGAACGCCGUAUCUCCUCCGUCCGAGCUCCGAUCGCCGCACCGUUUGUGGCCACGCGACCACCGCAUCGAGCUCUACGUUUCUACCGGAACAAUUUCAUAGGUUGUGAAUAAAUAAUUGGAGCUUGAAAUUGUGAAUAUUGGAACUUGGAGGAAGCUGAUUAGUUGAAUUUUGAAGGGGUGCCUUGGUUUUAAAUAAUUUGCUUUGGUCGUUAUGUGGAAAUCGGCCAAGAUGCAGGUCGAGAGGCAUCUCGUUAGGCGUCUGGACUCUUGAGGCGGAGUGGUUACUGGGAUAUUUUGUUAUGCUAUGAUGUAUAUAUAUGUACUUAGCUUUCUCUCCGCAUGACUUAUUCUUUUUUGAUCCUCUUAGAGGUUUAUGGAGAGGCAGGAUUGUGUAUAUGUACUUUUGGGUUUUGGAUAUGUAUGUAUAUAUGUGUAAAUAUUCUCCGGCCAGU